GAUGAACGCUGGCGGCGUGCCUAAUACAUGCAAGUCGAGCGAACAGACGAGGAGCUUGCUCCUCUGACGUUAGCGGCGGACGGGUGAGUAACACGUGGAUAACCUACCUCUAAGACUGGGAUAACUUCGGGAAACCGGCGCUAAUACCGGAUAAUAUAUUGAACCGCAUGGUUCAAUAGUGAAAGACGGUUUUGCUGUCACUUAUAGAUGGAUCCGCGCCGCAUUAGCUAGUUGGUAAGGUAACGGCUUACCAAGGCAACGAUGCGUAGCCGACCUGAGAGUGUGAUCGGCCACACGGGAAGGGAGACACGGUCCAGACUCCUACGGGAGGCAGCAGUAGGGAAUCGUCCGCAAUGGGCGAAAGCUUGACGGAGCAACGCCGCGUGAGUGAUGAAGGUCUUCGGAUCGUAAAACUCUGUUAUUAGGGAAGAACAAAUGUGUAAGUAACUAUGCACGUCUUGACGGUACCUAAUCAGAAAGCCACGGCUAACUACGUG
rnacentral:rRNA from 1 species